rnacentral:lncRNA from 1 species
UGGACCUGACCUAUUGAAUCAUGACUAUAUCCGCUAUUCUGAUAUUCAAAUUCGAUAGAGAUGAAAUUGGAGCAGUUUAUUUUUUUUAUUUCAUUUUUUUGUUUUGGACUCCACAAGAAUUUGUCGAUAUUUCCGAUUAAAUGUUCUUGUUACUAGAUUUUCUAUAGGAAAAAUUAUAGAAAUAAUUUGUUAUUCCUUU